CCUACGGGAGGCAGCAGUGGGGAAUUUUGGACAAUGGGCGCAAGCCUGAUCCAGCCAUGCCGCGUGUGUGAAGAAGGCCUUCGGGUUGUAAAGCACUUUCGGCCGGAACGAAAUCGCGCGGGCUAUUACCCCGCGUGGAUGACGGUACCGGAAGAAGAAGCACCGGCUAACUACGUGCCAGCAGCCGCGGUAAUACGUAGGGUGCGAGCGUUUAUCGGAAUUACUGGGCGUAAAGGGUGCGCAGGCGGCGUCGCAAGUCAGGCGUGAAAUCCCCGGGCUUAACCUGGGAAUUGCACUUGAAACUACGAUGUUGGAGUAUGGCAGAGGGAGGUGGAAUUCCACGUGUAGCGGUGAAAUGCGUAGAGAUGUGGAGGAACACCGAUGGCGAAGGCAGCCUCCUGGGCCAAUACUGACGCUCAUGCACGAAAGCGUGGGGAGCAAACAGGAUUAGAUACCCUGGUAGUCCACGCCCUAAACGAUGAUGACUAGUUGUUGGAGGAGUUAAAUCCUUUAGUAACGCAGCUAACGCGAGAAGUCAUCCGCCUGGGGAGUACGGUCGCAAGAUUAAAACUCAAAGGAAUUGACGG
rnacentral:rRNA from 1 species